rnacentral:rRNA from 1 species
GUGGGGAAUAUUCCGCAAUGGACGAAAGUCUGACGGAGCAACGCCGCGUGAGUGAUGAAGGUUUUCGGACUGUAAAGCUCUGUUGUUUAGGACGAAAGUGCCUGUUGCAAACAGUUACAGGUAUUGACGGUACUAAACGAGGAAGCCACGGCUAACUACGUGCCAGCAGCCGCGGUAAUACGUAGGUGGCAAGCGUUGUCCGGAAUUAUUGGGCGUAAAGAGCAUGUAGGCGGGAAUCUAAGUCUGUUGUGAAAAUGCGGGGCUCAACCCCGUAUUGCGAUGGAAACUGGGUUUCUUGAGUGCAGGAGAGGAAAGGGGAAUUCCCAGUGUAUCGGUGAAAUGCGUAGAUAUUGGGAGGAACACCAGUGGCGAAGGCGCCUUUCUGGACUGUGUCUGACGCUGAGAUGCGAAAGCCAGGGUAGCGAACGGGAUUAGAAACCCCAGUAGUCC